rnacentral:sRNA from 1 species
GCUGGGCGCAGUGUCGCAUGCCUGUAAUCCCAGCGGCUUGGGAGGCUGAAACAGGAGGAUUUCGAGUUCAAAGCCAGCCUCAGCAAUGGUGAGGUGUUUAGCCACUCAGUGAGACCCUGUCUCUA